rnacentral:rRNA from 1 species
CGAAGGAUGCAAGCGUUAUCCGGAUUCAUUGGGUUUAAAGGGUGCGUAGGCGGACUUGUAAGUCAGUGGUGAAAUCUCUCAGCUUAACUGAGAAACUGCCAUUGAUACUGCAGGUCUAGAGUAUAGAUGACGUUGGCGGAAUAUGACAUGUAGUGGUGAAAUACUUAGAUAUGUCAUAGAACACCGAUUGCGAAGGCAGCUAACGAAACUAUAACUGACGCUGAGGCACGAAAGUGCGGGGAUCAAACAGGAUUAGAUACCCUGGUAGUCCGCACCGUAAACGAUGAUUACUCGUUGUUGGCGAUAUGACAGUCAGCGACCAAAGCGAAAGCGAUAAGUAAUCCACCUGGGGAUACGGCCGGACAACGGUG